rnacentral:lncRNA from 1 species
AGGCCAUCCUAAAAUUUUGACAUGACUUAUGCUAUAAAGUAAGAUGUAUCGAGUGACAGGUACACUUGUAUCUCUGUGAAUCCAUCCUUGUCUUCCUCUGAACCCUCGUCAUCCAAGUGAUACACAUACAUACACCUAAAAGGAGCUCACGUUACAUGUCCUCUUGCGCGACAAGGGCAUCCAAAUCACUGAUAUCAUUACGAUGAAUCUCUUCCCCUUGCACAUAAUCAUUAGUAACAACGUCAUCACCAUCAGCUUGAAU